rnacentral:lncRNA from 1 species
UCUCGGCGAUAUGCUGCACGGUUUGCAAAUUUUAUAGCGGCUAACUCAGCAAUUGGGGCCGAGACGGGUUGGUGACCGUACUGUGUUCCAAUGUGGUUUGGAUUUUGGUUGACCCGGUCGAUGUUCGGUCAGGUUUGAUCUGAUGAAAGAUGUUUCCUAAGGCUCUGAAACAGUGCAAACAUCCAUUCCCAGUUGCAAGGUUUGAAUAGAUAUUCCCAAAACUUUCCUGAUGUAUGGUUUUAUUUUGUUGAUUUCCUCUGCAAUUAGAAUCAUUCUUUGGUGUUUGGGGGAGGUUCGCUCGUAAUAGCGAAGAUGGUAUGCGUCCGGGUGGAACUAGCGAGCUAGGGAGGUUGUAAAGCUUCUUGUUUAUAUUGCCUUGACUAUUGACAGUGGAAGCUUUUGUUGGCGUGGAGUCUACUUCUAAUACCGGACACUGCCCGUAGAUCUCUGGCUGCAGUUGAUACAUUUUUUAAGAUAUCAUCAAAAUGAAGUUUAAAAAGCUGGUUAUCGUUCUGCCAAGGAAUUUAAUAUGGGGGCUGGACCUGUUGAGGUUGAUAGUGAGCUAAUCUAUUACAUAGGCGGGCAAAUUGAUUGGCCUUCCAAUGGAGACUGCUGGCUGACAAUUCUAAGUUUUCUUGCUGUUUCCGUAGUUAUGUGUACCAGAAGUUCGUUGAGAUAUGUAUUGUAGUUUAUGCUUUCUAUACGCAUAGGAUAUUGCUAUUGGCAAACAUUCCAAAUCUUCUAGGAAAUUUUAAAGCGGAUCUUUAACCAUUGCAUUGAGCGUUUUGGCGAAAACAGAUCGGAACUGCACGGAUGCCGCUCACUCAAACUCCACCCACCCCUGGAGAGAUGUGGAAAUGUGUUUGGAAAGUGCUUUCAUCAGAUCUGCAAGUAAAAAAGGUUGGAGUACACCAGUCAUAAUUGGUUCAGGCGGAGGCAGCCGCGACGGUGAAUGGUAUUGAGUAAUCAUUCCAAGAGAGGAGUUUCCUGCGAGGAGUAUGUUUGAUGAAGUUGCAGAAUUCUGAAAGAUGUAAGGGUUGGGUUAUUUUCUCAAUUCCGUUCCAAUUCAGAGUUAACAACGAAUUCCCACAGACUCAGCAAAUAUCAUCUGCAAGCGAAUGCAUGAGAACGCAACUAUGUGCUGACGAAGCAGGAAGGCUGAACCAACUUUUCCACAAAUUAGGAAUGCUAGUGCACCGUUAUUAUCACAUAAAUAGAAUCAGCACUUGUAAUGUAAUGUAGUAUGUUUUUACUUUUUGAUUGUGAUGGAGAACUUCUGCCCGGUCGAAUAGUAAAUGUUUUUUUUUUUAAAUAUUAAAUGUUAUUUACUUAACUGGCCCUCAACGUGGGGCUGCACUCGUGCUCGCGAAUUCAUUGGGUGGAUCCUUUUGUAAAAAUUGGUGGACCUCGGCGCAAAACCGGGAUGUCUGGAGUUUCUUAUUAAGGCAGGCCUAGACCGUGCAUCUAUCGUAUAUUAUCGUGUACUUUCCCUCGAAAUGAUAUUGUAUCUAAUACAUUCGGAAUGAUUUCCCUGCCUCCGGAACCUAACAAUUAUGGAGAAAACCAAAACGCUCCCAUUGCAGGUGUAGGAGAUGCAACCAUUUCACUUAACGAGCUGACAGAAGUUAUUAAUCGCAAUGUGUCUCAAUCUCUCCAAACACAGGGGAGGCAUUUUUAAUAUAAUAACUUAUUAAACUCCGCAUCCAACAUAAAUAAUGAAACGAGCAUAGGCAUAAAAGCUGUCCGCAACAGGAAUUUAUCAGAAGUGGAUAAGUUUCCGGACGUCGUGAGAAGCCUGAGGGACUUCGCGGGCAACCCUGUUGAAUUUAGCUCAUGGAAGAACAGUGUCGAUAGAAUACUCAAGAUCUAUGCAGAUCAUAUAAUACACUCCUUAACUGGGAAAAAAAUUCCAAGUGCCUAACACGCGGGCAAGAGGGAUCUUGGUAUCCUUGAGUACCAAAUGACAACCCUUAUUAAGGAAAUAGCAGCGUUCAUGAGUUUUACCAAACUGUGUACCAUCAUUUAUCCGUCAUACUAAACAAAUUAUCCUCGACCAGUAUGGGUCAACAGUCAUUGAAUAAUAUGACUCAUUGUUAAGAUAA